rnacentral:rRNA from 1 species
AGGAAAAGAAACCAACAGGGAUUGCCCCAGUAACGGCGAGUGAAGCGGCAACAGCUCAAAUUUGAAAUCUGGCCCCCCGGGGCCCGAGUUGUAAUUUGCAGAGGAUGCUUUUGGCGAGGCGCCUUCCGAGUUCCCUGGAACGGGACGCCACAGAGGGUGAGAGCCCCGUCUGGUUGGAUGCCGAGCCUCUGUAAAGCUCCUUCGACGAGUCGAGUAGUUUGGGAAUGCUGCUCUAAAUGGGAGGUAUAUGUCUUCUAAAGCUAAAUAUUGGCCAGAGACCGAUAGCGCACAAGUAGAGUGAUCGAAAGAUGAAAAGCACUUUGAAAAGAGGGUUAAAUAGUACGUGAAAUUGUUGAAAGGGAAGCGCUCAUGACCAGACUUGGGCCCGGUGAAUCAUCCAGCGUUCUCGCUGGUGCACUUUGCCGGGCUCAGGCCAGCAUCAGUUCGCCCCGGGGGAGAAAGGCUCUGGGAAUGUGGCUCCUCCGGGAGUGUUAUAGCCCUCAGCGCAAUGCCCUGGGGCGGACUGAGGUCCGCACGUCUGCAAGGAUGCUGGCGUAAUGGUCAUCAGCGACC